GAGUUAUUAGCUCAUUUGGUAGAGCAUGCACCUGAUAAGUGUAAGGUACCAAGUUCAAAUCUUGGAUAACUCA
rnacentral:tRNA from 1 species